ACAACACUCAUGAAAACGUGGAACUGCUGAGAUCAGCGAAAUCUCCUGGGAGAAGGCUCGCAGUGAGCGACUUCAUGGUUACAAUAUCGGCGCAGGACCUCGGGUGGAAUUUGAAGGCCUUCUACAUCCUCAUAGUCCUCAGAUGCAUGAGACAAACCAUCUACGAAUUAAUGCAAAAGGAAACAGCUCGCUCAGUCUUCUCCAUACGAAAACAAAAAGGGGGAAAUGUGGGAAAAUCGCCCACAUCAACUGAUGAAAGGAUAAAUAAAAUGUGAUAUAUACAUACAAUGGAAUAUUCUUCAACAGUAAAAAGGAAUGAAGUCCUGAUACACACAUCUACAUGGAUGAACUUUGAAGAUAUCAUGUUGAGUGAAAUAAGCCAGACCCAAAAGGAAAAUAUUGUAUGAUCUCACUGCUUUGAAGCAUUAGAAUCAGCAAACUCAUAAAUAUUUUAAACUUGAAUAAAAAUUACCAGGGGUUGAGAUGGGGAUAGGGAAUGGAAAGUUAAGGUUUAAAAUGUACAGGGUUCCUAUUUGGAAUGUUGGAAAUAUUUUGGUAAUGGAUGGUGGUGAUGGUAGCACAACAUUGUGAACAUAACUAACAAUACUGAGAUAUGUAGCUGAAUGUGGUUAAAAGGGGAAAUGUCAAAUUGAAUAAUGGUAACAGUAUAAAAAUAAAAAAGGAACUAUGGAACAACACUACACAAACAGUGAACCCUCUG